rnacentral:rRNA from 1 species
UACGUAGGGUGCAAGCGUUAAUCGGAAUUACUGGGCGUAAAGCGUGCGCAGGCGGUUAUGUAAGACAGAUGUGAAAUCCCCGGGCUUAACCUGGGAACUGCAUUUGUGACUGCAUAGCUAGAGUACGGUAGAGGGGGAUGGAAUUCCGCGUGUAGCAGUGAAAUGCGUAGAUAUGCGGAGGAACACCGAUGGCGAAGGCAAUCCCCUGGACCUGUACUGACGCUCAUGCACGAAAGCGUGGGGAGCGAACGGG